GCGAGUGUUUGGGUGUCAAACCCGGGCGCGGAAUGAAAGUGAAUGGAGGUGGGAGCCCGUCAAACGGCGCACCAUCGACCGAUCCAGAUGUCUUCGGAUGGAUUUGAGUACGAGCAUAGCUGUUGGGACCCGAAAGAUGGUGAACUAUGCCUGAAUAGGGUGAAGCCAGAGGAAACUCUGGUGGAGGCUCGCAGCGGUUCUGACGUGCAAAUCGAUCGUCGAAUUUGGGCAUAGGGGCGAAAGACUAAUCGAACCAUCUAGUAGCUGGUUCCUGUCGAAGUUUCCCUCAGGAUAGCAGUAACGUUUUCAGUUUUAUGAGGUAAAGCGAAUGAUUAGAGGUCUUGGGGCUGAAACAGCCUUAACCUAUUCUCAAACUUUAAAUAUGUAAGAAGUCCUUGUUACUUAGUUGAACGUGGACAUUUGAAUGUACCGUUACUAGUGGGCCAUUUUUGGUAAGCAGAACUGGCGAUGCGGGAUGAACCGAACGCGAGGUUAAGGUGCCGGAAUGCACGCUCAUCAGACACCACAAAAAGUGUCAAUUCAUCCAGACAGCCGGACGGUGGCCAUGGAAGUCGGAAACCGCUAAGGAGUGUGUAACAACUCACCGGCCGAAUGAAUUGGCCUUGAAAAUGGAUGGCGCUCAAGCGUGCUACCCAUACCUCGCCGCCAGGGUAGAAACGAUGCCCUGGCGAGUAGGCAGGCGUGGAGGUCCGUGACGAA
rnacentral:rRNA from 1 species